rnacentral:rRNA from 1 species
GGAGUCUGGGCCGUGUCUCAGUCCCAAUGUGGCCGGUCAUCCUCUCAGAUCGGCUACCGAUCGUCGCCUUGGUGAGCUUUUACCUCACCAACUAGCUAAUCGGACGCAGACCCAUCAUAAUGCGAUAGCUUAUAAAUAGAGGCCAUCUUUAACUAAAGUCCCAUGCGAAACUUUAGCAACAUUCGGUAUUAGCAGCUCUUUCGAGCUGUUGUCCCCAUCAUUAUGGCAGGUUGUCUACGCGUUACUCACCCGUUUGCCACUAGAAUUUUUAAAGUCAAGCUUCAAAAAUUCCCGUUCGACUUGCAUGUGUUAAGCACGCCGCCAGC